UACGUAGGGGGCAAGCGUUGUCCGGAAUCAUUGGGCGUAAAGAGCGUGUAGGCGGCUCGGUAAGUCCGCUGUGAAAGUCCAGGGCUCAACCCUGGAAUGCCGGUGGAAACUGUCGAGCUAGAGUCCGGAAGAGGCGAGUGGAAUUCCUGGUGUAGCGGUGAAAUGCGCAGAUAUCAGGAGGAACACCAAUGGCGAAGGCAGCUCGCUGGGACGGUACUGACGCUGAGGCACGAAAGCGUGGGGAGCAAACAGG
rnacentral:rRNA from 1 species